GGGGAUGGGCUAAGGCUAAAAUUUGCCUCUGCAAUCUAGAAGUCUGCCCGUCAGUCUCAAAACACAUCCCUCAAGCUUCUCAAGUUAUACGGACUGAGCUGUGAGCAUCUGAAAAAUAGUAGAGAUAUGAGGGAUCAAAGUCUGGUCUGAGUCAUCCUGAGAUGUCGACCUCUGAGCAAAGAUUGAGGUGACAAACUGCUGAGAUAAAAUGGAGGCAACACGCUAGGACAUCAGCUCCAUCUGAUCAUCUGCAAGUCUGAACUCUGAAGGAUGUACCCUGCUCCCUAACUGUGGAACUGAAGCAUGCCUCCUCACUGACUUUGAGGGACCAGCCUCAUGAUCAGACACAAACUGAAUAUCAGGAGAUGCUCUGUGAUCACAAGGAGGUGAAGACGGUCUCUUCUCUGCUCUCUUCUCAGCUGGCUCCUCUGUUCUUUUCUCGACACCCUUUGACCAACUGCCAUCAGUCUUUGAAAAACUCAUGCGGUGCAGUGUGUGACAGUUUAUGGUGUCAGAAUGAGACAACCUAGUAACUGUCUCUCCCUCAAAAUUGACUCCGAACCUCCUAAAGACCA
rnacentral:lncRNA from 1 species